UACAGAGGGUGCGAGCGUUAAUCGGAAUUACUGGGCGUAAAGCGCGCGUAGGCGGCUUUGCAAGUCGGGUGUGAAAUCCCCAGGCUUAACCUGGGAACUGCAUUCGAGACUGCAUUGCUAGAGUAUGGGAGAGGGAAGUGGAAUUUCCGGUGUAGCGGUGAAAUGCGUAGAUAUCUGGAGGAACACCGGUGGCGAAGGCGGCGUCCUGGACCAACACUGACACUGAUGAGCGAAAGCCAGGGGAGCAAACGGG
rnacentral:rRNA from 1 species